ensembl:lncRNA
UUAUCAUGUUUCUGGCCAGUGCAAUCAUCAGGGUGGGUCUGGGUUGAUAACUGCACAUUUCUGGCCAGAAAUGUUUCAGCAGUGUUACAUAUGUAGUGCAUAUGUUACACUUGCUUUCUGUUACCAGCUGAUACCCUACAUUUGUAUAGACAUUUGAUGGUGUGAGGUUGGGGAGUUGAGUGGGAGGGGGGGGGGGGGGGGGGGGUACGGUGGGAGUUGAGGGGGGGGGGUUUCCUUUCCUGUUAGGUUUCCUUUGUUUUUCUUUUUUUUUCUUUUUAAGAGAGACACAGUCCUCCUGUGUCUUCUCCAAUCUUCACAUGUAAAAUCCAACAAUGUGAAGCACAUAGCAGCCAGAAACUGUAAUGCCACAGAUCAGAGAAACUUCAUCAUCACCAUCUUCAUCGCCAUACGAUCAGAGCGUGAGACUUCACAUCUGGAGCACAGGAGAGAUUCUGUGAUAAGUCUUCCUUCUAGCUUGUCCCACAAGCAGUCGAGCCGAGACACUCAGGACUGAACAGACUGCACAGUUUCUGUGACUGAGCCUCCAAAACACCUUCUUUGAAACCACUCAUGAUAGAAGGGCUUCAUAUUUGCAGCAGCACUACUACAGUUGGCAGGAAUGUUGCUGCAGGAAAACAUCCCUGGAGAUCACCAUCAUUGUCAGACUGACUGUGCCUCCUCUGUGCAGUGUCAAGAUCCUCCCUAAAUGAGUGUGUAAGUUAACAUUUUCAUUAUUUUAUUCCCUUUGACAAGACAAGUAUCACUGAUAUUUACAUUUACAACUACAUAUUCCUGUUUUCUGCUCUUCUUUUAAAGUCCUCAGCUAUCCUGCUUCUGUGCUGCUUGCCACACAUCAAACACUGGCCGGAUGACAGGGAGG